CAUUAAGUGGCUGAAAGUUAAGCAAUGGUCUCUUAAACCAAUAAAUAGUAAAUUACGAAUACUCUUAAUG
rnacentral:tRNA from 1 species